UUAUUUUUAUACCUACUUAAACCCUCCCCCGUGCUAGUGCAGCCCCACCCCGACCCCAGCCCGCGUGAACAAGCAGUUUUAUGUUUUGUGUUUAGGUUUAGUUAAGCUGGUAGUUGCUGACCCAAGGCUAUGAGUCAGUCAACGGAAGAGUUCCCCCAUUUCCCUUUAGUAUGAAUAUGAAGUCACACAGGGGGAUGGUGUAAAACAAAGGAGGAUCCAGUUUUACAUUAAUAUCGAGGCGGAUAUAAUUGUAGCCACCUACAGUGCACCUGGGGGAAAGAGGACACAGGUACAGAGUAUUACCGGGAGAUGGGGGAGGACAGGAUGUUCCUUCAGAACUGAAGAUUACAUCCUAUUACCUAGACUCUACUCUAUAGAGUAUAGUUCUCGAUUCUAUACUUCUACUACUACUAGUCUACUACUAGACUUCGAAGUUGGAACCUACUAGGUCUAGAUCUAGAGUCUAGUCUAACUAGUGAGUACUACUCUCAGCUCUGCUACUGUCAGUACUGAACGUGACUUAUAGAUCUACAAGACAAUUUUGGAUCAAUGGACUGCACUUUGACAUUACUUUAAAAGUAUGACCCAAAUGCACAUCUGCAAGAACCAAAUGUGAAGAUUUGACUCCUGGGUGUUAAUGAACAAACUAAAGUAACAGGUUCUUGAUGCUCAGUUUUUGAAUGCUUUCACGGAUGCUUCAAGCCCACAAUGAAGUGAAAUUGUUUCCCCAUCUCUGGAAAUCUAUUUUUAAUUAACAAAUUCGUCGAUUUAGAAUCUACCAGAAUUUCGGGUAUAGAAAGACCAGGUGGUUUUAGCGGCUUUAGCCUUGAAUCAUUCGGUGGUUAGACUAUCUAAAUUACAUCCUGCUUUGAAAUCGUAUUUCAUUUCACAAGAGAAGUGUCCAACCUUAAUCAACAGCUUCUUUGAAAACCCGUGUGAUGAAUUAUGGCCUCAUUUUAUACACAGCACUGCGGCUGUAUUCCAUGCAGAAGUUUAUCGAGGGACAGAAUGUCAGACUUCUUGAAGUAUCUUCUGCCACAAACGGAUUCGUUCAGAAAUACACGAAAAGAAGCUUGAAAACUUUCCUCCUCAACGGUGACGCGAGUUGGUUAGAAAAAGUGAUAUAGCAGCAACAACCGUAAACGUUUACGACACGUAUGCCGAGUAGCGGGUAUUUCAGGGGGAGAAGUGGCUUCUUGACAGGUUGACGCUUUCAGAUGGGUUGCAGAGAAAGAUGAUUUAUCUUUGAAAACGUUUCAGAAAGCCUGACAUUAUUUCAAUUAUUGUGUGCAAAUUGUGUGUCUAUGUACAUUGUGGUUUAUUACAAUAACUUCCAAGUUCUUGAAAAAAAAAAUAUUGCUCGAAAAAAUCUUAGUCUGUUCUUUUUACCAUAUGAUCGACAUGUGUCCCGCUUUGGCUCCCCAAAUAUAUUGUCACUUUAUUUAUGCUCAUCUAAUUUAGAGAGAUUCCGAGCUAUCAAAACAGGUAUUGACAAUCCCCCCUCCUCUUUUCCUCCAUCAAAUUCUCUCGCCCUCUCCUUAGACUUCCAUACCCCCCCCCCCAGCUCACAUCUCCUUUCCAAGUUGUCACACUCGCGGUUAAUAAAAAAAAUCUAUUUUUAAAAAGUUACAAAGGGAGUAGGUCUUUUAAGUAUAAAGUCAUAGGCAACUCCCUAACCUACUUUUCACAUUUAGAGUCGAGUAUGUAUAAUUUAUGGAAUUUCAGAGAGUGCACUGUCCAGUAUUUUACGCUAUGAAGACCCAGUUGUAACCCACUUAUUUUGUUUUCAACAUUUGUAAAAAGUAUGUAAAAUGCCCCAUUCAGACUUUGCGAUCUAUGGGGCUGAUGAUGUGAAGGUCAUCUGUUUAUGUGGCCAACAGUUAGCGACGGUGUCAUGCGGCCAGCACAACGACCACCCUUACUUUACUUUUCCCCCAACUAAUGUUGAUCUGCUGGGUGGACUCAGAGGCACCCUAAAAAUCACAGGACCCCCACGGAUCGGAACCCAAGCGCUUUACCACUCAGCCACCGCGCCUCCUUCCAACAUCUGACACAAGAUUAAUUGUCUGCCGAGCGAACGACUGGGGUUGGUUCUGCAAUAGUAGGCUAAUGUCACGGUAUUUCUUUUCGUUCACCCGCUUGCCACACAGCAGCUCAAUGAAGAAACACUUUGACUCCUUGUUACAGAAAUUAGUUUUAUUAAUUAACUAUAACAGGGAGAGUAGGCUGGUUAUCUUUUCGUAUUGUGCGCCUGUCUUCGUCAUGUGCUUUUCUUUGGGUUUCGAAUGUGUUUCCUAUGGCCUUCAUAUGUUAUCUGCUGCCAGCUACUUUCGUCCAGGGCCUGCGUUAGUCAUAGGUAAGUAAACUAGGCAGCCGCCUAACGGUAGGGCCUCUGAUUGGCGGGGGCCUCGCACAGGACUAAAACAGCAACAUUAUUUUUAGAGACAAAAACGCGAAACAUGGAUCCAAUCUUAUAUUUAACAAAACUCUAUGGCUCCGAAAUUCCCUUAGAAACAGCGUAGGUGGAAAUAGUUAGGCUUUUUAAUGUAGUGGGAAUAUAUAUAAGUCCAGACUCUGAAACGUAUAGGAGUGAAGGGAGCAUUACAGCACUGUAGACUUUCAGUUUUGUGGAUAUACUGAGUGUCCUUGAAGUCUGACAAAAGCAGCCCUGGCACACCUCAUCAUCUGGCAUUGGCUGAGAUGGUGCUUCCCAAAAUGAAAUAUUUGCUAGUUUCUGUAUAAUUUUGUCGGUUCUUUGACAGAUUUAUUUUGAGAAGGUUGGUGCAGCACUUGUUGUUGUUUUUUACAUUUAUGGGGAUAUCUUUUAUAUACUUGGGAGUUACAUAGACCUAACAACAGUGUUUUUAAACAUGAUCUUGGGUUCGGUUUGUGUAGCUAUGAGCCACCUAUUAUUUUGCCUUCAUGUCCAAUAUAACUCUAAAAGCACUAUAGCACUAUUUGAUCAGGGCACUGGUAUUUAGAUAGUUCAGCGCCAAGUUUGAAAUGUAAUUCAAUAAUUAUGAGCCAAUGGAUUACCGUCUGUCUGAACUUAUUUGAACAAUGUUGUUGAACUUUUGUGCUCUCUUUGUUUCUUUCAAUAAUGGCAUAAUAUUAAUAAACAAACUUUAAAAACAAAACAGAAAUUGUGUUCACCAUUCGCAUGUGUUAGCAUGUGUUAGCACAUGAAACAAUCAGUAGGUCAAAUGGCUCAUGCUAAAUAUAGCUCCAGACAUCAAACAGUAACAAAA